rnacentral:rRNA from 1 species
ACGGAAGGCAGCAGUAGGGAAUAUUGCACAAUGGGGGCAACCCUGAUGCAGCAAAGCCACGUGUGGGAAGAAGCAUUUCGGUGUGUAAACCACUGUCGUGAGGGAAUAAUGCUUGGCCUCGGCCAAGUUGAAUGUACCUCGAAAGGAAGCACCGGCAAACUUCGUGCCAGCAGCCGCGGUAAUAUGAGGGGUGCAAGCGUUGUUCGGAAUCACUGGGCGUAAAGGGAGCGCAGGCGGAGAUGCAAGCAGUCUGUACAAUACCGGGGCCCAACCCCGGACCUGCAGACUGGACUGUUUCUCUUGGAUAAUUCAGGGGCAAGCGGAAUUCCUGGUGUAGCGGUGGAAUGCGUAGAGAUCAGGAAGAACACCGAUUGCGAAGGCAGCUUGCUGAGGACUUAUCGACGCUGAUGCUCGAAAGUGCGGGUAUCAAACAGGAUUAGAUACCCUGGUA